UUGCACUGAUCCGAUCGAGUGGCGGACGGGUGAGUAACGCGUGGGUAACCUGCCUCAUACAGGGGAAUAACAGUUGGAAACGACUGCUAAUACCGCAUGACACAUAGGUGUCGCAUGGCACUUAUGUCAAAGAUUUAUCGCUGAAAGAUGGCCUCGCGUCUGAUUAGCUAGUUGGUGAGGUAACGGCCCACCAAGGCGACGAUCAGUAGCCGACCUGAGAGGGUGACCGGCCACAUUGGGACUGAGACACGGCCCAAACUCC
rnacentral:rRNA from 1 species